UACGAAGGGGGCUAGCGUUGCUCGGAAUCACUGGGCGUAAAGCGCACGUAGGCGGACUCUUAAGUCGGUGGUGAAAUCCUGGAGCUCAACUCCAGAACUGCCUCCGAUACUGGGAGCCUUCGAGUCCGGGAGAGGUGAGUGGAACUGCGAGUGUAGAGGUGAAAUUCGUAGAUAUUCGCAAGAACACCAGUGGCGAAGGCGGCUCACUGGCCCGGUACUGACGCUGAGGUACGAAAGCGUGGGGAGCAAACAGG
rnacentral:rRNA from 1 species